AUUGAACGCUGGCGGCAGGCCUAACACAUGCAAGUCGAACGGUAGCACAGAGAGCUUGCUCUCGGGUGACGAGUGGCGGACGGGUGAGUAAUGUCUGGGAAACUGCCCGAUGGAGGGGGAUAACUACUGGAAACGGUAGCUAAUACCGCAUAAUGUCGCAAGACCAAAGAGGGGGACCUUCGGGCCUCUUGCCAUCGGAUGUGCCCAGAUGGGAUUAGCUUGUUGGUGAGGUAAUGGCUCACCAAGGCGACGAUCCCUAGCUGGUCUGAGAGGAUGACCAGCCACACUGGAACUGAGACGCGGUCCAGACUCCUACGGGAGGCAGCAGUGGGGAAUAUUGCACAAUGGGCGCAAGCCUGAUGCAGCCAUGCCGCGUGUGUGAAGAAGGCCUUCGGGUUGUAAAGCACUUUCAGCGGGGAGGAAGGCGAUACGGUUAAUAACCGUGUUGAUUGACGUUACCCGCAGAAGAAGCACCGGCUAACUCCGUG
rnacentral:rRNA from 1 species